rnacentral:misc_RNA from 1 species
AACGCACAUUGCGCCCGCCAGUAUUCUGGCGGGCAUGCCUGUUCGAGCGUCAUUUCAACCACUCAGGCCCUGGUGCCUGGCGUCGGGGUUUCUUGCUUCGGUAAAAUCCCCUAGAAUCAGUGGCGGACCCGCCGCGGCUCCGAGCGUAGUAGUAAAAUAUCUCGCUAUGGAGGCCCGUGGAGGGAUUACCGGCCGUAAAACCUCUUCUUUACUGAAGAACUUCUCAAGGUUGACCUCGGAUCAGGUAGGAAUACCCGCUGAACUUAA